rnacentral:rRNA from 1 species
GUUGACCUCGGAUCAGGUAGGAAUACCCGCUGAAUUUAAGCAUACA